GACCUCAUUUCAUGGAUCAGUGAACAAGGUUAAGUUUUGGUGGUCAAGUCCAUAUCUCGGAUACUAUAAGCAAUAGGGUUAGUAUAUUCGGUGUAUGGAAGGACUGUAAGGUGUACAUGUCCAACUGGCAGGUGUCAUCUGACCUUAACCUCAUUUUCAUGGUUCAGUGGUUAUAGUUAAAUUUUUGUGUUUUGGUCUGUUUUUCUCAUACUAUAUGCAAUAGGUCUACUAUAUUUGUUGUAUGGAAUGAUUGUAAGGUGUACAUGUCUAGCAGGCAGAUGUCAUGUUACCUUGACCUCAUUUUCAUGGUUCAGUGGUCAAAGUUAAGUUUUUGAGUUUUGGUCUUUUUAUCUACUACUAUAUGCCAUAGGUCAACUAUAUUUGUUGUAUGGAAAUAUUUUAUGAUCUUUAUGUCAGUCGCGCA
rnacentral:lncRNA from 1 species